rnacentral:misc_RNA from 1 species
UUUCCGUAGGUGAACCUGCGGAAGGAUCAUUGCACACAUGAUGCAGCAAACUAGCGAACUGUGUUUGUCCCCCACCUACCCCAAACACGAGGGGCCGCAUCUGGAGGUGCGGCUGUCGACGGCAAGGUCCCGACCUUCGGGUCCCCGCAGUGGUUCCCGCAAGCGGGCUGAUCAUGUCGCCGUCUGGGUGUCCCGCGCGGGCUCUCGCCUUGCCUUAGGGUUGGGCGACGCGGGCAUUCUCCUCCCUUCGAUGACGUCGUCCCCUCCUCCGGGAGAGCGACACGCCUCGAGGGCCGUCUACAACUUGGCACCAGGUACAGCACCAGUGCGUGAGUAUACCGGUGUCCCGGUUCCGCUGCUGCACUCGGGUGGUGCGAGAUAGGUCCAUAGGAACAAGAGUAACUAAAAACAACUCUCAGCAACGGAUAUCUUGGCUCUU